rnacentral:tRNA from 1 species
CCUAUGCUUAGCUUAUAUAUUUAAAGUGUUGGUUUGAAGCUCCAGAGAAAGAUUUGUUCUAGCUUAGGG